UACGUAGGGGGCGAGCGUUGUCCGGAUUUACUGGGCGUAAAGGGCGCGUAGGCGGCAAUUCAAGUCAUCUGUGAAAUCUCCGGGCUUAACUCGGAACGGUCAGAUGAUACUGCUUUGCUCGAGUGCGGAAGGGGCAAUCGGAAUUCUUGGUGUAGCGGUGAAAUGCGUAGAUAUCAAGAGGAACACCUGAGGUGAAGACGGGUUGCUGGGCCGACACUGACGCUGAAGCGCGAAAGCCAGGGGAGCAAACGGG
rnacentral:rRNA from 1 species